UUAAGAACAAAACUAAUUUAAACAGCGAUUUGGUUGCAAUUGGUGAUGGACAUGCAUUAGUACCAAACCGUUUACUAAAACACAUGGAUUGGACUUCUUACACGAAUGCUACCAGAAAACUUUUGAGAGCAGUGUUUUCAAGAAGUGUACUGGCAACACAUUCUCUUACGGGGAAACCAUCGCCAGCAUUCCCAAACAAGCCAGCAAAGAAACAGUUAAAUCCAAUGCUUGUGAAUGAUAUUGUUCAAACUGUUGUGGAUAACUGUCGGGUUCCGGAGAGCGUUGUAAGGACCAGUAUAACAACCAAAUGCGCCGACGAAAGCAAAAUGCUCCGCAGUCGUAUGCGAAAAAAUAAACGUGAUUGUGACAUAAUAGAUAGAGAAAAUAUUUCGCCAUCGGACAGCAAAACCGACGAUUCUGACGAUUCCUUCUAUUCCGAUUGAUUUUAAGCUUUAAAAAAUAUUACUGGUUGACAUCUACUUAUAUCCGAAAUUAAUGCAAGAUAAUAUUACAAGUAUAAUUAAGUUAUAUGAUCGUGCUCAUCUAUGAAAUAUUUUUCUAAAUCAUUACUAAUAUCUAAUUGUUUUGAGAUAUCAUUGCUAAAUAACGUAAAAUGAUUAUGAAUGUAUGUGAUCCUUACUUCUAAUUCUCAUUGUUAUUUUAUACCAUCAAUCUGCAUUUAUUAUACGUAAAGAGAGAUCAUUAUUCAAAUAAUAUCUUAACACAUUUUCGAAAUCAACAGAAACAUUUAAUAGUUAAAUGAUCAAAGAAUAGCGUACCGUAACAGUAAAAUGUUUCUAUUUGUAACAACGAAAAAUAUUUUACCCAGUGCCUAAUGGAAGGUAAGGUCCUAAGUAAAGGUCGGCUAUAUGCGCAGUAUGGUAGUUUUAGGGGCUUUUUAUUUUGCGGUGGCUGCAAUAUUAUCUGUUAUUUUAUAUAAAUUAAAUAGAAUUAUAAGUUUCAUUUAAGAAUAAAACAAUGCUUAGUAUUAAUAUUUCCUACAAUAUUUGUUAGAGGCCAAGUUGAUUUUAGUAUG